rnacentral:piRNA from 1 species
UGGUUUAUGCCCCGUCUAUAAUUUUAACUAU